rnacentral:rRNA from 1 species
ACUAAGCGUACACGGUGGAUGCCCUGGCAGUCAGAGGCGAUGAAGGACGUGCUAAUCUGCGAAAAGCGUCGGUAAGGUGAUAUGAACCGUUAUAACCGGCGAUGUCCGAAUGGGGAAACCCAGUGCAAUUCGUUGCACUAUCGUUAACUGAAUACAUAGGUUAACGAGGCGAACCGGGGGAACUGAAACAUCUAAGUACCCCGAGGAAAAGAAAUCAACCGAGAUUCCCCCAGUAGCGGCGAGCGAACGGGGAGCAGCCCAGAGUCUGAAUCAGCUUGUGUGUUAGUGGAACGGUCUGGAAAGUCCGACGGUACAGGGUGAUAGUCCCGUACACCAAAAUGCACAGGCUGUGAACUCGAAGAGUAGGGCGGGACACGUGGUAUCCUGUCUGAAUAUGGGGGGACCAUCCUCCAAGGCUAAAUACUCCUGACUGACCGAUAGUGAACCAGUACCGUGAGGGAAAGGCGAAAAGAACCCCGGCGAGGGGAGUGAAAAAGAACCUGAAACCGUGUACGUACAAGCAGUGGGAGCACCUUCGGGUGUGACUGCGUACCUUUUGUAUAAUGGGUCAGCGACUUAUAUUCUGUAGCAAGGUUAACCGUAUAGGGGAGCCGCAGGGAAACCGAGUCUUAACUGGGCGUUAAGUUGCAGGGUAUAGACCCGAAACCCGGUGAUCUAGCCAUGGGCAGGUUGAAGGUUGGGUAACACUAACUGGAGGACCGAACCGACUAAUGUUGAAAAAUUAGCGGAUGACUUGUGGCUGGGGGUGAAAGGCCAAUCAAACCGGGAGAUAGCUGGUUCUCCCCGAAAGCUAUUUAGGUAGCGCCUCGUGAAUUCAUCUUCGGGGGUAGAGCACUGUUUCGGCUAGGGGGUCAUCCCGACUUACCAACCCGAUGCAAACUACGAAUACCGAAGAAUGUUAUCACGGGAGACACACGGCGGGUGCUAACGUCCGUCGUGAAGAGGGAAACAACCCAGACCGCCAGCUAAGGUCCCAAAGUCAUGGUUAAGUGGGAAACGAUGUGGGAAGGCACAGACAGCCAGGAUGUUGGCUUAGAAGCAGCCAUCAUUUAAAGAAAGCGUAAUAGCUCACUGGUCGAGUCGGCCUGCGCGGAAGAUGUAACGGGGCUAAACCAUGCACCGAAGCUGCGGCAGCGACACUAUGUGUUGUUGGGUAGGGGAGCGUUCUGUAAGCCUGCGAAGGUGUGCUGUGAGGCAUGCUGGAGGUAUCAGAAGUGCGAAUGCUGACAUAAGUAACGAUAAAGCGGGUGAAAAGCCCGCUCGCCGGAAGACCAAGGGUUCCUGUCCAACGUUAAUCGGGGCAGGGUGAGUCGACCCCUAAGGCGAGGCCGAAAGGCGUAGUCGAUGGGAAACAGGUUAAUAUUCCUGUACUUGGUGUUACUGCGAAGGGGGGACGGAGAAGGCUAUGUUAGCCGGGCGACGGUUGUCCCGGUUUAAGCAUGUAGGCUGGUUGUCCAGGCAAAUCCGGAUAAUCAAGGCUGAGGUGUGAUGACGAGGCACUACGGUGCUGAAGUAACAAAUGCCCUGCUUCCAGGAAAAGCCUCUAAGCAUCAGGUAACAUCAAAUCGUACCCCAAACCGACACAGGUGGUCAGGUAGAGAAUACCAAGGCGCUUGAGAGAACUCGGGUGAAGGAACUAGGCAAAAUGGUGCCGUAACUUCGGGAGAAGGCACGCUGGUGUGUAGGUGAAGCCCCUGCGGGUGGAGCUGAGACCAGUCGAAGAUACCAGCUGGCUGCAACUGUUUAUUAAAAACACAGCACUGUGCAAACACGAAAGUGGACGUAUACGGUGUGACGCCUGCCCGGUGCCGGAAGGUUAAUUGAUGGGGUUAUCCGUAAGGAGAAGCUCUUGAUCGAAGCCCCGGUAAACGGCGGCCGUAACUAUAACGGUCCUAAGGUAGCGAAAUUCCUUGUCGGGUAAGUUCCGACCUGCACGAAUGGCGUAAUGAUGGCCAGGCUGUCUCCACCCGAGACUCAGUGAAAUUGAACUCGCUGUGAAGAUGCAGUGUACCCGCGGCAAGACGGAAAGACCCCGUGAACCUUUACUAUAGCUUGACACUGAACAUUGAGCCUUGAUGUGUAGGAUAGGUGGGAGGCUUUGAAGCGUGGACGCCAGUCUGCGUGGAGCCAACCUUGAAAUACCACCCUUUAAUGUUUGAUGUUCUAACGUUGGCCCCUUACCGGGGUUGCGGACAGUGUCUGGUGGGUAGUUUGACUGGGGCGGUCUCCUCCCAAAGCGUAACGGAGGAGCACGAAGGUUAGCUAAUCCUGGUCGGACAUCAGGAGGUUAGUGCAAUGGCAUAAGCUAGCUUGACUGCGAGCGUGACGGCGCGAGCAGGUGCGAAAGCAGGUCAUAGUGAUCCGGUGGUUCUGAAUGGAAGGGCCAUCGCUCAACGGAUAAAAGGUACUCCGGGGAUAACAGGCUGAUACCGCCCAAGAGUUCAUAUCGACGGCGGUGUUUGGCACCUCGAUGUCGGCUCAUCACAUCCUGGGGCUGAAGUAGGUCCCAAGGGUAUGGCUGUUCGCCAUUUAAAGUGGUACGCGAGCUGGGUUUAGAACGUCGUGAGACAGUUCGGUCCCUAUCUGCCGUGGGCGCUGGAGAAUUGAGGGGGGCUGCUCCUAGUACGAGAGGACCGGAGUGGACGCAUCACUGGUGUUCGGGUUGUCAUGCCAAUGGCACUGCCCGGUAGCUAAAUGCGGAAGAGAUAAGUGCUGAAAGCAUCUAAGCACGAAACUUGCCCCGAGAUGAGUUCUCCCUGAGACUUUAAGUCUCCUGAAGGAACGUUAAAGACGAUGACGUUGAUAGGCCGGGUGUGUAAGCGCAGCGAUGCGUUGAGCUAACCGGUACUAAUGAACCGUGAGGCUUAACC